GUGGGUGUGGAAAGUGGGUAGGCUGGAAAUUAAAAUCCUGCCUUUGUCUUCUUCUUUAAAGGCCAAGUUAAAUAGAGGAGGUGGGAGCUAUUUGGGUUGUUGCUGGUAUAGAAAAAUGCAAUCUCAAGAAUACGCUAACAUUGCCACUUUGAAUAGAAAACAAUGCACUCUCCCUGACACAUUGUAUUUCAUCUUUGCCUGUUUGCUUCCAAGUUCCUCCUGCAUAAAAUAACAUUAUUUCUCAAUGUUUUGCCCUGAAGGCAAUUUAUAAAUGACUUUGCCAAUCACUGCAAGGGGAGUACUUCAUUCUGGUAGCCCUCACCCGGAAGGGUGCUUAAUCUUUUUGUCUUAAAUAUAUCCGGUUCAAAAAAGUGUAUUGAGGAGUUCCUGUUUCAGGAAGCAGAUUAAAAGCUGGCAGCAGGUUAGGAACUCGACAUAGUCUCUGUGAGGAUGCGCCUCGCUCAGUGGGAGCCUCAAAUGGCCCGUGACCUUGCUUCCUGGUUCUACCAAGGUGAUCAAAUCAGGUUUACUAACCUAAACGAGAUCUGCAACAGGAAGCACAACAUAUUACAAUCUCAGCUCCCAGAGGCUCAACCACAACAAGCCCCAGCAAGAAGACUCAGGAGGGACAUUUACUUCACAGAGCACAUCUUACUCUCUGGCAGUCCUGCGGGAAGCUCAGCCACAGAGGCCAGGCAACAGUGGCCCAGCCCUGCUUCUGAUUGGAAGAGGAAGUAAUAUCCAAUUCUGUAGCUAAGCAUUAGGAAGUCCCCUUGUCUGCAGACCCAGUUUGUAUUCAACAAUGCCAACUUAGUAAACACCCUCCUGAUAUUUGGUCGCAUGUCUCUGUUGUUUAGAACUCUGGUGAGGAAGAGUGUUUAUUAUUGUCCCAGGAAUUUGUAACAGUAACUGCUGCAAUAAUAUGGAAAUAGAUAUAUACUUUUUUGAUUUUUAGGGCUGCACCUUCAGCAUAUGGAAAUUCCCAGGCUAGGGGGUUUAAUCGAAGCUGCAGCUGCCAGCCUACACCAGAGCCAUGGAAAACCAGAUCUGAGCAGCCUCUAUGACCUAUGCUUGCCGCUUACAGCAACACCGGAUUCUUAGCCCAUGGAGCCAGGUCAGCAAUCAAACCCGCAUUCCCAUAGUGACAACAUCAGGUCCAUAACCUGCUGAGCCACAAUGGGAACUCUGGUGCAAACUUCGUGGUGUCAGAAUCCUUUUUCUCGCAGGGGUCCACAAGGUCAUGCAAGUCAUGGUGUUCCUGUAAACCUCCAACAAGGCAAAUGUUAUUCUCUGUCCUGCAACUUUUUAUCUCUAUAUGAAUGGAAUUCUCUGUUCUGCAACUUUGGAUCUCCUCAGCUUAGUAGUGUAGAAGGAAAAGUGAUAAAUGUAGGAUUCUGGCCCCCAUACCCCCUCCUGUAUCUCUAAUGGUUAUCAUUCAACAUGCAACAAUAUCUAUUAUUUUAAUUAUUUGAAACAAUGAAAUCAAUGGUCCUCAACUGGAGGGGAUUUUUUUUCCCACAGGGGACACUUGGCAAUGUCAUGACAGAGGGUUGCUAGUGGAUAAGAAAGAGGGAAGCUGCUAAGCAUCUUAUAAUGAGCAGCACAACCCCAACAACAAAGAAGUACUUGGCUCAAAAUGUCACUGGUGCUGACAUUGAGAAACCCAGAUUGUCGGAGUUCCUGUGACAGAGUGGGUUAAAGGAUCGCUUGCAACUGUGCCUCAGAUUCAGUUCCUGGCCUGGGAACUUCCAUAUGCCUCGGGUGUAGCCAUAAAAAAUAAAAAAUAAAAAAAAUAAAAACA
rnacentral:lncRNA from 1 species